rnacentral:snRNA from 1 species
CUGGUUUUUACUUUAAUAAAAAAUCGUUGUAGUAUCUGUUCUUAUCAGUUUAGUAGCUGAUAUGUCCUGCAAUGCGGGACUCGUCUAUUAAAUGGAUUUUUGGUAUUGGGAGUUGGAUUAGGGGCUUGCUCCGUCUGCUCCAUGCAUCGACCUGGUAUUGCAGUAUCACCAGGAACGGUGCACCCCUU